rnacentral:lncRNA from 1 species
AUUUGGACCUCCCUGUGGUCUUCUUCCCCUUCCCCUUUGGUCCCUGUGUCUCUGUGUUUGAUCCAUGGCUUAAGCAGCUGUUCUGUCCCUGGGAUGGCUUGGUGUUAGUCAAGCCAUCAGUCAGGCUUUUAUCCCCUCUGAUGAAACUCCCUCUUAUGCUUUCUCUUUUAUCCUUGCAGUUCAAAUACUGGGCUUGGUGACCUCCUCGUGGGAUCCCGAAUGCCGUGUCCAGUGUGCCUCCCGGCCCCUGAGGACAACAACUAGGAGACAUUCAGGACUGUGGCUGGAACCAGCAGUGACACUGAGGCUCAGAGGUGAGCCGAGGGACUGAGCAGGGACAGGCAAACGCACGGAGGCACAGGGAGAUGGGGACCAGCGCCACGAUGGGCAGCAAAAAGAAAACGAGGAGAAGUACUAUAAAAAAUGAGAGGAAGGCUUGUCUCUAAGCCUGAGCAACUCCU